GAAGAGGGAAAGAAAGAAUGAAAGUGGAAGAGGAAGGAGACAGGUAACACUGGCUCCUCAAACUUCCAACCCAAGGAACGGUUUCUGCCAAGAAAAUGUGCCUUAGGAGAUGAGACUACCAGUGGAGCAGAAUUCCGGCAGUUCUCCAGGGGCUGCCUGUCACGAGGGCACUCAAGCUGCCUGCAGAGAGGCCCAUACGGGGAGCAUCUAAGGUCCCGCCAACAGCUGGCACCAACUUGCCAACCAUCCGGGAAGAAGACCCUCCAGCCCCAGUCAAGCUUGCAAAUGGCUGUGGCUCUGGCUGAUGUCUCAACUGCAACCUCUUGAAAGACUCCAAGCCAGAAUGUUCCUGAAUUUCUGACCCCCCAAGACUGUGAGAUAUAUUAAAUGUGUAUUGUUAUUUUAAAUUUCUACGUUUUGAUUUGUUACAUAGCAA
rnacentral:lncRNA from 1 species